GACGAACGCUGGCGGCGUGCUUAACACAUGCAAGUCGAACGGUAAGGCUCCAGCUUGCUGGGGUACACGAGUGGCGAACGGGUGAGUAACACGUGGGUGACCUGCCCUGCACUUCGGGAUAAGCCUGGGAAACUGGGUCUAAUACCGGAUAGGACCGCACCGUGAGGGUGUGGUGGAAAGUUUUUUCGGUGUGGGAUGGGCCCGCGGCCUAUCAGCUUGUUGGUGGGGUAAUGGCCUACCAAGGCGGCGACGGGUAGCCGGCCUGAGAGGGUGGACGGCCACAUUGGGACUGAGACACGGCCCAGACUCCUACGGGAGGCAGCAGUGGGGAAUAUUGCACAAUGGGCGGAAGCCUGAUGCAGCGACGCCGCGUGGGGGAUGACGGCCUUCGGGGUGUAAACUCCUUUCACCAUCGACGAAGGGUUUCUGACGGUAGAUGGAGAAGAAGCACCGGCUAACUACGUGCCAGCAGCCGCGGUAAUACGUAGGGUGCGAGCGUUGUCCGGAAUUACUGGGCGUAAAGAGCUCGUAGGUGGUUUGUCGCGUCGUCUGUGAAAUUCCGGGGCUUAACUCCGGGCGUGCAGGCGAUACGGGCAUAACUUGAGUACUGUAGGGGAGACUGGAAUUCCUGGUGUAGCGGUGAAAUGCGCAGAUAUCAGGAGGAACACCGGUGGCGAAGGCGGGUCUCUGGGCAGUAACUGACGCUGAGGAGCGAAAGCAUGGGGAGCGAACAGGAUUAGAUACCCUGGUAGUCCAUGCCGUAAACGGUGGGCGCUAGGUGUGGGUUUCCUUCCACGGGAUCCGUGCCGUAGCUAACGCAUUAAGCGCCCCGCCUGGGGAGUACGGCCGCAAGGCUAAAACUCAAAGGAAUUGACGGGGGCCCGCACAAGCGGCGGAGCAUGUGGAUUAAUUCGAUGCAACGCGAAGAACCUUACCUGGGCUUGACAUAUACAGGAUCGCGCCAGAGAUGGUGUUUCCCUUGUGGCUUGUAUACAGGUGGUGCAUGGUUGUCGUCAGCUCGUGUCGUGAGAUGUUGGGUUAAGUCCCGUAACGAGCGCAACCCUUGUCUUAUGUUGCCAGCACGUUGUGGUGGGGACUCGUAAGAAACUGCCGGGGUUAACUCGGAGGAAGGUGGGGAUGACGUCAAAUCAUCAUGCCCCUUAUGCCCAGGGCUUCACACAUGCUACAAUGGUCGGUACAGUGGGUUGCCAGUCCGUGAGGGCGAGCUAAUCCCGCAAAGCCGGUCUCAGUUCGGAUCGGGGUCUGCAACUCGACCCCGUGAAGUCGGAGUCGCUAGUAAUCGCAGAUCAGCAACGCUGCGGUGAAUACGUUCCCGGGCCU
rnacentral:rRNA from 1 species